CAGAGACAGGUACUAGUGAUUCCACUGGGCGCUAUAGGCAGGGCGCACUCAUCGAACUCCCCCAUCCCUUCCAGCCUCAGGGCCCGCCUGGUAGGGCUACUGAGCAAGGCCUUGGAAAACCGGAGCGAUUAGAGCGAAGUGCUUCGGUCAGUCAGUAUCUUUGAAAAUAAUUUGGCCAAUGAAAGCCCUGGUGUUGGAUGAAAGUACUAGCUGCUGGGAAUGCUACCCCUCCUUUUGGUUCUCCUUCAAGUCCUUCAAGUUCAAACAAUACAGAAGUGUAUAAAGUAAGAAUUGAAAGUCUCUUCGCUGCUCUAAUCUCACUCCUCAGAGGUGAUCACUGUGUGGAAGAUGAUCAAAGUAUGACAUUUCUUCUACCCUAGAGGUUGGCAUUUCUGCAGGCACAAAUGAGCUUGGUUUUCAAGCACCAGUCUUUGAACACAAGGAAUUCUUUUAAUGAUCACGCCGGACUAUAUAGACUUUGGAAUCAGACUCUUUGAAUUCCAGCUCUGCCAUUUACCAACUUUGACACUUUGGACAGGGUCUCAUUCUGUCACCCAGGCUGGAGUGCAGUGGCACGAUUAUAGCUCACUGCAACCUCAAACACCUGGGCUCAAGCAAUCCUUCCACCUCUGCCUCCUGAGUAAUUGGGACUACAGGCGUGUGCCACCACGCCCAGCUAAUUUUUAAUUUUUAAUUUUUUUGUAGAGAUGGAGGUCUUGCUAUGUCACCCAGGCUGGUCUUGAACACCUGGCCUCAAGUGAUCCUCUGGCUUCGGUCUCUCAAAGCUCUGGGAUUACAGACAUGAGCCACUGCACCCGGCUCUGUCUCCCCUUCCUAUGUGUGUUAGCUCUAGAACAAGAGAAGCCUUGUUGAGAUUCAUGGCUGCCCACCCCCCAUCACCUCUCUGACUUUGGGCAAGUUGCCUGGCCUCUCUCAGCCUUUAUUUUCUUUUUGUGAAAUGGGAAUAAUAAUAGUACUUGCCUCACAGGCAAAAUGUUGUGAGAACUAAACGAGAAAAUGCACAUAAAGCACUUGGCACUUAGUUCUUUUUAUGAUUAUAAUGAUAAUCAGACACAAUAAAUUAUUUCUCACA
rnacentral:lncRNA from 1 species